AUGCCAUGAUGAGGACAUCUUCUCAAGAGUUCCUUAAACUAUUCCUAAGUUUCAUACAAUGAAUCUCCCUCAUUCUGGCACAAAUUAUUAAUCUCUCCCCUCAAUUU